AGAAACUUAGGAUAACUAAGACCAAGUGCCUUCAAAGCUCUAAGUAGAAGUUAAAAUCUUCUAGUUUCUG
rnacentral:tRNA from 3 species